rnacentral:lncRNA from 1 species
AUGGAAAAUGCAAGAGAGUUCCAGAAAAACAUCUAUUUCUGCUUUAUUGACUAUGCCAAAGCCUUUGACUGUGUGGAUCACUAUAAACUGUGGAAAAUUCUGAAUGAAAUGGGAAUACCAGACCGCCUGACCUGCCUCUUGAGAAAUCUGUAUGCAGGUCAGGAAGCAACAGUUAGAACUGGACAUGGAACAACACACUGGUUCCAAAUAGGAAAAGGAGUAUGUCAAGGCUGUAUAUUGUCACCCUGCUUAUUUAACUUCUAUGCAGAGUACAUCAUGAGAAACGCUGGACUGGAAGAAGCACAAGCUGGAAUCAAGAUUGCUGGGAGAAAUAUCAAUAACCUCAGAUAUGCAGAUGACACCAUCCUUAUGGCAGAAAGUGAAGAGGAGCUAAAAAGCCUCUUGAUGAAAGUGAAAGAGGAGAGCGAAAAAGUUGGCCUAAAGCUCAACAUUCAGAAAAUGAAGAUCAUGGCACCCGGUCCCAUCACUUCAUGGAAAAUAGAUGGGGAAACAGUGGAAACAGUGUCAGACUUUAUGUUUUGGGGCUCCAAAAUCACUGCAGAUGGUGACUGCAGCUAUGAAAUUAAAAGACACUUACUCCUUGGAAGAAAAGUUAUGACCAACCUAGAUAGCAUAUUCAAAAGCAGAGACAUUACUUUGCUGACUAAGGUCCGUCUAGUCAAGGCUAUGGUUUUUCCUGUGGUCAUGUAUGGAUGUCAGAGUUGGACUGUGAAGAAGGCUGAGCGCCGAAGAAUUGAUGCUUUUGAACUGUGGUGUUUUAGAAGACUCUUGAGAGUCCCUUGGACUGCAAGGAGAUCCAACCAGUCCAUUCUGAAGGAGAUCAACCCUGGGAUUUCUUUGGAAGGUAUGAUGCUAAAGCUGAAACUCCAGUACUUUGGCCACCUCAUGAGCAGAGUUGACUCAUUGGCAAAAACUCUCAUGCUGGGAGGGCCUGGGGGCAGGAGGAGAAGGGGACGACAGAGGAUGAGAUGGCUGGAUGGCAUCACCGACUCGAUGGACAUGAGUCUGAGUGAACUCCGGGAGUUGGUGAUGAACAAGGAGGCCUAG